GAUGAACGCUGGCGGCGUGCCUAAUACAUGCAAGUCGAGCGAACGGACGAGAAGCUUGCUUCUCUGAUGUUAGCGGCGGACGGGUGAGUAACACGUGGACAACCUACCUAUAAGACUGGGAUAACUUCGGGAAACCGGAGCUAAUACCGGAUAAUAUUUUGAACUGCAUGGUUCAAAAGUGAAAGACGGUCUUUCUGUCACUUAUAGAUGGAUCCGCGCUGCAUUAGCUAGUUGGUAAGGUAACGGCUUACCAAGGCAACGAUGCAUAGCCGACCUGAGAGGGUGAUCGACCAGACUGGAACUGAGACACGGUCCAGACUCCUACGGGAGGCAGCAGUAGGGAAUCUUCCGCGAUGGGCGAAAGCCUGACGGAGCAGCGCCGCGUGAGUGAUGAAGGUCUACGGAUCCUAAAACUCUGUUAUUAGGGAAGAACAUAUGUGUAAGUAACUGUGCACAUCUUGACGGUACCUAAUCAGAAAGCCACGGCUAACUACGUG
rnacentral:rRNA from 1 species